rnacentral:rRNA from 1 species
UAAUAGUUAUGUUCUUUAAAGUUAAAUAAUUUGGCGGUAUUUUAGUCUUUUCAGAGGAACCUGUUCUGUAAAUGAUAAUCCACGAUAUUAUUAUCUUAAAUUAGAAAUUUAUAUAUCAUCGUUAUUAAAUAUUUUUUUAGAAUUUAAUAUUUAAAAAAUUUUAUUUAAUUUUAAUUCAGAUCAUGGUAUAGUUUAUAUUUAAGUAGAAAUGGGUUACAAUAUUAAUAAAUUUGGAUUUUAAAUUUUAAAUUUAAAUGAAAUUGGAUUUGAAAGUAAUUAUUUUUAU